rnacentral:rRNA from 1 species
UACGUAGGUGGCAAGCGUUGUCCGGAUUUACUGGGCGUAAAGAGCGCGCAGGCGGUCGAAUAAGUCGAAUGUGAAAGCCCCCGGCUCAACUGGGGAGGGUCAUUCGAUACUGCUCGACUUGAAGGCAGGAGAGGGUAGUGGAAUUCCCGGUGUAGUGGUGAAAUGCGUAGAUAUCGGGAGGAACACCAGUGGCGAAGGCGACUACCUGGCCUGUUCUUGACGCUGAGACGCGAAAGCGUGGGGAGCGAACAGG